CAAAUAGGGAAAUGGCCAAGGACACACCUUGUAAAUAAAUCCCUGGGCACAGGUCAUGAUCAAGCCCUUUCAGAGACCAGUUUAGCCCAGGGACUUGCAACCACCACACUGCCCAAGAGAGAAAGAUGUGACGGAGGCGUACGAACAAAACGCCGGUGCCUCCGGACACAGGAUGAGAAUGACUAACAUCGUCCAGUGCUUUGUGAUUUGCAACAAACGUCCAUAUCCAUCUUCCAAAGGUCUCUCACCACAGCUCCACGAGCGUUGGAGACGGCCUCCUCGUAGGGGCUCCAGGAGGCGCGGAGGGCCAGGCGCUCCUGGCUGGAGAGGAAGUCCCGCAGCCGCUCCUUCUUGACCUGCUCGCGGUAGGCCUGCUCGCCUCCACCCAGCAGCGCUUCCAGCGCGGCCCGCCGCCGCUCGCAGUAGUAGAAGGCGGCCUGCGCCUCGGUCACCCUCUCGUUUACGUGCGCCUCGUCUAGGCAGCUGAGCUGGGACUCGGCCAUGGUGCCCCAGCCCUGUCAGGGGACCCGGGGCUUGGACCCUGCCGUCCCCACCUCUGCACCUGGAGCGGUCGAGGGGCGGGGCGCCUCACCUGGCCGCGAGGUCCGCCUCGGCCCGCCCAGCGAUCGCUAGCCGGCCAAUCCGCUCGGGCCCCGGUGCAGGCGCGGCCGUCGGGCGGAGAAGACCCGCCGCCUCUGCUUGGUUUGCCGGGACCUCGGGGCAGCCCCACCGACGCCACCGUGCGACGACUCUGGCCUGCCUAGCCCGGCUGGGGCACCGAGCCCCGGAGUGGAAGUGAACUCGGAGCCGGGCUGUAGUCAGAGCCACAUGCGACCUUUGAGCCACGCCCGCCUUCCAGCUGCGACCCCUAGGUGCAAGAAAGGUCGGCGACUUGACCCUUUAUACAUCCAGCACCCUCCGGACUCGGCCCCGCGGGUCCAGGCUCACCUUCCCGCAGGCAGGGCCCAGAGAGCAUGUUCUGGCCCUGGUGCCUGCGGGGCUUUAGCAAUCUGACCCCUCCGACCUUCAGAGGGAAAUUGUGUCGAACCGUGUAAUGGGCAGUUGGUGCGGGAAAGUAAAGAUGCUAAUGAAAUCCCUAGUUUCGCCGCCCACGCGUCCCAGUUCUGAGACCAGAGGCCUCCAGGGGCUGUCAGCUCAACACCAUCACUACAAAAUUUUUCUUCUAAAAGAACCACCCAAACAAACGAUGUAAGCAGGCAGCAGUGCAUUUGCCCCUCAUUUUAAUUUGAAGUGGUGUGUGCGUGUGUUUGGGCCCGAUAGGCUGCCAGAGGCCUGAUUACUAUAUUAGCGAUUCAAAGUAUAUGUUUGAGCUCAGGGAAGGAAGCUGAGCACAGACACACGCGUGCACACCACCGCCACAGGCUCUACUGUUUCCUAUUGGAUUAAAUACAAUCUUCUUAGUCAUUAACAUAUUAUUUUGUUCGUGUGCUGCUGUACAAUUUUGAUUCUCCACACUCAAAAUAUUUUCAGAUCAUAGCAACCAAA